rnacentral:SRP_RNA from 14 species
GCGUGCCAUGGUUCGAAUCGCGCGAUGUCUCAAAAAUGUUUCUGUUGAAAAGGAAUUCCUAGAAGGAAUUUUAGGAAUUCUUUCUCAUAAAAUCUUGCAAAAUGACACAGGGAAGAAAUUCAGCAAGUCACGCAUAAACAGGAACAAGUUUUGAGACCGCAUCGCG